ACAACGGCUGGCGGCGUGCCUAACACAUGCAAGUCGAACGUGAAGCCACCUUCGGGUGGUGGAAAGUGGCGGACGGGUGAGUAACGCGUGGGAACGUGCCUUUCGGUUCGGGAUAACCCAGGGAAACUUGGGCUAAUACCGGAUACGCCUCCGGGGGAAAGAUUCAUUGCCGAAAGAUCGGCCCGCGUCGGAUUAGCUAGUUGGUGGGGUAAUUGCCUACCAAGGCGACGAUCCGUAGCUGGUCUGAGAGGAUGAUCAGCCACACUGGGACUGAGACACGGCCCAGACUCCUACGGGAGGCAGCAGUGGGGAAUAUUGGACAAUGGGCGCAAGCCUGAUCCAGCCAUGCCGCGUGGGUGAAGAAGGCCCUAGGGUUGUAAAUCCCUUUCAGCGGGGAAGAUAAUGACGGUACCCGCAGAAGAAGCCCCGGCUAACUCCGUG
rnacentral:rRNA from 1 species